GGCACGCCGGGUGUGUCCCGGCGCUGGGAGACUCGGGGGUCCUGAGCACGGAGAGUGUUAUGGGCGCUCGGUGAACGAGCAAAUCCUGCAAGCAGUGGAGGACCUGCCCUUCUUCUCAGGAAGAGCUGCCUGUGGUUGUAAUGUUAUGCAAAUGGAUGGCACUUUCCCCUGCGGUUUCUGGAGGCUGCUCAGACUGGCCCUGGACUAACAUCUGUGCCCAUCUUCCUCCACGUUACAUGGGACGCCACCACAGCAUGGUUUGCCAAGCAGUGCGUUGGAGCGCACCCAGGAUCCGAACCGGCGAACCCUGGGCCGCCGCAGCGGAGCGUGUGCACCCAACUGCUUGCGCCACCGGGCCGGCCCCUCUAAUAAACAUUUUAAAAUGCAGAAUGUCCUUCUGUUCAUUUAUGCAUUCAUUUAAUAUCUGUCCAGUAAACAAUCAUGAAACACCUACAUGUGCUGACUGCUGUGGCUGAAUAAGAAAAACAGAUUUCCAACGAUGUAAUCUAAACCCCUCUAUCGCAAAACACUUGGAAAUGCUGACUAAAAUAUAAUAAGCAUUCCUUUAACUGCAUACCUGAGCUUGAAAGAAAGGGAUAUCCACAGAGACACAAAAUGAAGUGGAAAAAGCAACAGGAAACAGCAAGUAUGAUACUGGGGACAG